rnacentral:rRNA from 1 species
AGCCGAGCGGUAUUUGUCCUUCGGGACGGAGAGAGCGGCGUACGGGUGCGGAACACGUGUGCAACCUGCCUUUAUCUGGGGGAUAGCCUUUCGAAAGGAAGAUUAAUACCCCAUAACAUAUGAUACGGCAUCGUAUUAUAUUGAAAACUCCGGUGGAUAGAGAUGGGCACGCGCAAGAUUAGAUAGUUGGUGAGGUAACGGCUCACCAAGUCAGUGAUCUUUAGGGGGCCUGAGAGGGUGAUCCCCCACACUGGUACUGAGACACGGACCAGACUCCUACGGGAGGCAGCAGUGAGGAAUAUUGGACAAUGGGUGAGAGCCUGAUCCAGCCAUCCCGCGUGAAGGACUAAGGCCCUAUGGGUUGUAAACUUCUUUUAUACUGGGAUAAACCUACUUACGUGUAAGUAGCUGAAGGUACAGUAUGAAUAAGCACCGGCUAACUCCGUGCCAGCAGCCGCGGUAAUACGGAGGGUGCAAGCGUUAUCCGGAUUUAUUGGGUUUAAAGGGUCCGUAGGCGGAUCCGUAAGUCAGUGGUGAAAUCUCAUAGCUUAACUAUGAAACUGCCAUUGAUACUGCGGGUCUUGAGUGAGAUUGAGGUAGCUGGAAUAAGUAGUGUAGCGGUGAAAUGCAUAGAUAUUACUUAGAACACCAAUUGCGAAGGCAGGUUACCAAGUCUUAACUGACGCUGAGGGACGAAAGCGUG